rnacentral:lncRNA from 1 species
GGGCGCAGUGGGAGCAGAGGCGGCGGGCGGCUGCGCCCCCACAAAGGCGCGUCUCUGGCCGAGGCUGGCGGCGGGGCGCCGCGGGCAAAGCUGAGGCUUUGACCUGGGCGCACGCUGGAAACGCCCGCCUCAUCGUCGCUGGAUAUACCCACCACGUUACCCAGGCUGGGGCCAUCUGGGCAGGGACACCAGCCUCGGCGAAGACCUUGGGCGACUUCAAAGCGCAGGCACCUCGAUUCCCCGAAUCUAUGUUGUGUGGCGGGUAUCGGUGUUCCCCUGGUUUAACUAGCCUGUUUGAAGGCGCAGAUCCUUCUUGGGGAAGUCUCACUGAAACCAGGUCUCCCUGCUCUCCCAGGGGCUUCGGUUUUCCCAGUCUGCCUCUGCUUGUGACUCCAGAAAGACAAACUUCCGAUUGGCCAAGAGAAUCCACACUUCUUGGUUUCCACUGGGCCCAAUGUAAAUGCCAUCUCCUCCAGGAAGCUUUUCCAGCAACCAGGGCUAGAGGCGGAAGGACCCUGUCAUCCCAAAGGUAGCAGACCUUCAUCGCCAAGGCUUCAGGGAAGGCUCCCUGGCUGGACAGCGCGCGCGAGGGCUCUGUGUCGCCGGUGUGGGAUGGAGAGGGGGAGACCUAGCCCGGCCUGGCCUCCCCUGGGCCCUCAGCCUCCCGAGCUCCAGAGCUGGCGUGGCGGGCUCCGGCUCCCUCCCGCUGGUUUCUCUAAGCCUGGUUUGCGCAUCUGACCAAUGGGGCAGCGACGCCGGCCGCGGGGCGCGCGGCAGAUAGGUGAGAUCAAGGCGCACACGGGGCUGGAUGCCCGACACACCCGGGCUGCGCGCAAUAAACGUGUGUGUCUUUUCCUGCCUCUCGCGUUUCUCGCCCUCUCUUCCAGCUACCGGGACCUGGCCGGACAGCCGAGGGCCGGGUGGCAUCGGAGGGCGCUUCCGGAGUUCAGGCCGCAGCCUCAGGGGUGUCACGGCGCGGGGCCGCACGCAAUGGAGACCUGCUCGGCUCCGGGGCUUUUCGCCCCCGGCAGGCAGGAAGGGGUUAACGGAGCCCCUCCCCCGCCCGCGCCAGAGUCCCCCGCGCUUUCCUCCCGAGGUCUCAUUAGGGAACCCUCCCCGCUAUUUUCAACAUUUCCUCAAUCAAGGCCCUUUAAAUAGAGCUGCGCAAACAAAUUGGCGGCAAAAGCGUAGAUCUUGUCACGAUUGAGACCAAUCCAAUAUUUCAGCCUUGUUUGCUUUGCAAUUACGGGUAGGCUUGUGGCUGCGAUGCCACCGGGGCAAAUCUGCCGCCGCCCGCUUUCUCUAUGGACCUGGCGGUGGAGGAAAGAUCCUCGGAGCCGCCGCGGGGAGGGGAGGGGGCGUCGCGGCCGGGAACGGGGAGGAGAGAGCGGGCGGGGAGGGGACCCGGGCGGCCGAGGCUUUCCAGCACCCGGUGCCAGGAGCGCGGAGCGUAGUUAAAGGGCUUCAUCCUGGCCAGCGGCCGGCGUGCCCACAGUAGUGAUACACUGUGCGGUGCUCAUGUGGAGCCCUUGGUGUACCUCUCCCCAGCUUCCUUUCUUCCCUUUUCCACCCAAUGAUGCCCUUUCUCUCCAGCAUUGGUUAGCCAUUCCCGGAUUCUCUCUCUGUCUCUCUCUCUCUGUCUCUCUCUCUCGAUGGUAAACCUGUUAGCACGCUGUUCUGUUUUCUGUGGCUGCUUACUCUUGUUUGACGUUUUGUACAAAGUCACUUCAAAUCGGCUGCAGGAGGAAUAAAACUCCAAGCCCUUGGGCUGGGCUCCCUCGGGUGUGCGGCCGCUCCAGUCCUCCAGUAACCCGCGGGCCACCUUCGCAAGUGGCAGCGCCCGGCGAGUUCGGCCACCACAGGCCAGCCUCGUUGGAGUCGGCAGAACAGUAGUUAACUUGAAUAAGGUCCUAAGUCUUAUAUUUCACAGACAAUUAAAUCUUGGCUGCUGUUUAACAAAAUUGUAAUAUUUACUGUGCUCCAUACCGAGGAGCACUUUUAAAGUCGAAAACAAAUACUACAUUUUAAAAAGAAAAAUAUGAUAAUAAAUCUCUUUUUAUGGAUUCUCUCUGCAUAAGAGGGAAACAACAUGAUUUAACUCCUCGACACCCCCACCUCCUUUCAGGCGCAGCUGAAGUUACACAGUUACCGUCUUUUAACCCACAUUCUCUGUGUCUGGUGGGUGGGGGGGGAGGCACCUGCAUUUGUUACGUUCCAGUUUCCAAGAUUUCACACCCCACCCUGACCCUUGUAACUGAAUGCAACAAGGAUUAUAAUAUAAUUAGGUCUGGGAUGUGAGGCCCAUUUCCAUGUGGAUUCAAAAAACGUGGGCAUGAUGGGCAAUUAAUUUAUAGUUUCAUAUUACUUUAUAAAUGACUACCCAUUUUCUUCUCAUGUCCAGGUGGGACGGUUGAGGCAGAGAAAUAUUUUUAAAAGUCUCUAGGGUAUAUAUUAAAAUAUGCUUCUUUAUUAUUCAAAAAUGAAUAAGGUGUGGACCUACGUUUGUUUGCCGGUGGUUAUAAAAGAAAUGCCUAGCUGUUCUUGCCAAGUAGCAAUCUCUUUUAUGCUUUAUUUAUUUAUUUAUUUAUUGGUUUAUAAUCCCACCUUCGCUCUUCUGGAUUGUCUUCCUGUUGUCAUGUUUUGGUUCUCAAUUUUACUUAAAGAAAACCCCAGAAGUGGUGGUUUCCUAAAAUUGUGUGAUGACAAAGCCACAGAAUAAUAUUUCAGAUCCAUGAGUCAUGCACAACCAUGCGUAUUGCUCAUGCAGUUUCCUAGCCGAUUGCUAUAGUAUUUCUACAAGAAUAGAAAGCAGUAGCUAGAAAGGGUACCAUUUCGUAAGAAUUCUCUCUUCACCCAAAUAAUUAGUCUGACGUAUUGUUCAAUGCAGAAAUUGUAUUACUUUCAUGUGUGUUAAUCUGUUUAGUAUUAAAACUGCUAGAAUGUUUUAACCAUUAACAUGUUUUGCCACACCACUUUCAAAUGCGUGAUCUCAGAUAAUUACGAAGAUUUUGAUGUUAAUCCCAUGUUAAGUGAACAACUAUGAAAAUACCCUGAAAGCAUUAUUAUGCUUAUAUAAAUGCCAGCAAACACAAUUGUACAAAGAACACAGAUUUCUUUUUAUCUGACAUUAUCCUAUAGGGAUAUGCAUUCAUUUCUUUCAAAAUUAGAGCAGUUUUCUAUUACUUUUUAACAGAUUUUUUUCCAACACAGCAUUUUGCCAUGACUAUAAACCACAACAACUUUGUUACUGACAGAUAGAUAUUUUUCUUUCAUUGUUAUUCAUUAGCUUCUUUGCAAACUCACUAAAAUAGAAUAAUAUACAAAAAUAUCAAAAUAAAGAGAAUAACUAUUAGGGUCUACAUAUUUAUUUAGGUAGGCUAAUGUUAUUAAAAUUAAAAACAUGUGCCUGGCAUAUAAAUGUUACGUUAAGAAUUCUUUUUUGGAUGCAGAGUUAUUAUUUAAACCAACUCAGAAUUUUCAAGUACUGAUUUUUCCCUCUAAACAGGCAUUGCAUUGUUUUAAACAGUAGCUCCUGGAACCACCCUUAGUAUUUUAGACUUCCAAACAACAAUUGCAAUUGAAUAAAUACCUUCAGCUGGGAGCACUUCCCUAAUACCUUUGCAGGAAAUAAGAGUCCCUGCUUCUACUGGGUGACAAAGAGGCAGUGCACUUGUGCAAGGGCAGAACUUACCAAAAAAUGGAGUUUUCCUUUAAGAUUGCUAUGGUCCAUCUAAAAAAAAAUAGUGAAGAUGUGAAAUCAGAGAAAAUGAGUAAGUGCUUUUUUCUCAUUACAGUUGUGAAACGAUGGCUUAAGGAGGGAUGCAAAAUAAGAGCCAGGAGGCAUGCAGUAACAUAAAAUCUGAAAAAGAAAGUUUUCUCAAGCAGGCUCUGGCUCUUGGUCUAUAAAUAGGAGAGGGAUGUAUUGGAUCUGCAUAACCCAUUUUCUUUUCUUUUUUCAUUUUUUUUUCAAUUCAGUGACUCCCCCCCCCUUCUUUUCUUUUUCUUUUUUUCUGCACUCAUUGCCAUUCAGGGAACAGAAGUUCCUCGGCCAGGGAUCGAACCCAUGCUAUGGCUGUAACCAGAGCCACAGCAGUGACAUGCCAGAUCCUUAACCUGCCGAGCCACGAGUAAUUUUUAAAAGAGAUUUUUCACUGGGUGAGGAAGCCCUAUCAAGGAAAUAUAUGUGAAUUCUGACAUAUGGAGAAAAACUAGCUACCUUGAUUUUUAAUAUUUGAUUAAAAUAUUAAGCCACUAUACUAUUGUUCUUUCUAAAUGAAGGCAUGUUGUCACAACUGGUGUCAAAAAGCAUUGGUUUCACCCCCCCAAAAUUGUUGUUAAAGUAAUAAAGUUAUAUCCAUGAAAUGAUUUCCAUGAAUCCCAACUUGCUGCAAAAAGGUGAAAAAAACUUUUCUGGAAGAAAGCAGGCAACUUUGUUAUUGGUCUGGGAUAAAUAAAGCAAGAAACUGCCUCUUAUAUUCAUAGUAAUUCAUUCUGCUUUUUCAAACAUUGUUCUUGUUAUCUUGUGCUAUUCAAGUAAUGCUGGUGUCAGCAAUAAAAAAA